UUGAACGCUGGCGGCAUGCCUUACACAUGCAAGUCGAACGGCAGCACGGGUGCUUGCACCUGGUGGCGAGUGGCGAACGGGUGAGUAAUACAUCGGAACAUGUCCUGUAGUGGGGGAUAGCCCGGCGAAAGCCGGAUUAAUACCGCAUACGAUCUACGGAUGAAAGCGGGGGACCUUCGGGCCUCGCGCUAUAGGGUUGGCCGAUGGCUGAUUAGCUAGUUGGUGGGGUAAAGGCCUACCAAGGCGACGAUCAGUAGCUGGUCUGAGAGGACGACCAGCCACACUGGGACUGAGACACGGCCCAGACUCCUACGGGAGGCAGCAGUGGGGAAUUUUGGACAAUGGGCGAAGGCCUGAUCCAGCAAUGCCGCGUGUGUGAAGAAGGCCUUCGGGUUGUAAAGCACUUUUGUCCGGAAAGAAAUCCUUGGCUCUAAUACAGUCGGGGGAUGACGGUACCGGAAGAAUAAGCACCGGCUAACUACGUGCCAGCAGCCGCGGUAAUACGUAGGGUGCGAGCGUUAAUCGGAAUUACUGGGCGUAAAGCGUGCGCAGGCGGUUUGCUAAGACCGAUGUGAAAUCCCCGGGCUCAACCUGGGAACUGCAUUGGUGACUGGCAGGCUAGAGUAUGGCAGAGGGGGGUAGAAUUCCACGUGUAGCAGUGAAAUGCGUAGAGAUGUGGAGGAAUACCGAUGGCGAAGGCAGCCCCCUGGGCCAAUACUGACGCUCAUGCACGAAAGCGUGGGGGAGCAAACAGGAUUAGAUACCCUGGUAGUCCACGCCCUAAACGAUGUCAACUAGUUGUUGGGGAUUCAUUUCCUUAGUAACGUAGCUAACGCGUGAAGUUGACCGCCUGGGGAGUACGGUCGCAAGAUUAAAACUCAAAGGAAUUGACGGGGACCCGCACAAGCGGUGGAUGAUGUGGAUUAAUUCGAUGCAACGCGAAAAACCUUACCUACCCUUGACAUGGUCGGAAUCCCGCUGAGAGGUGGGAGUGCUCGAAAGAGAACCGGCGCACAGGUGCUGCAUGGCUGUCGUCAGCUCGUGUCGUGAGAUGUUGGGUUAAGUCCCGCAACGAGCGCAACCCUUGUCCUUAGUUGCUACGCAAGAGCACUCUAAGGAGACUGCCGGUGACAAACCGGAGGAAGGUGGGGAUGACGUCAAGUCCUCAUGGCCCUUAUGGGUAGGGCUUCACACGUCAUACAAUGGUCGGAACAGAGGGUUGCCAACCCGCGAGGGGGAGCUAAUCCCAGAAAACCGAUCGUAGUCCGGAUUGCACUCUGCAACUCGAGUGCAUGAAGCUGGAAUCGCUAGUAAUCGCGGAUCAGCAUGCCGCGGUGAAUACGUUCCCGGGUCUUGUACACACCGCCCGUCAA
rnacentral:rRNA from 1 species